ensembl:snoRNA
AUUCUUUUGUAGUUGCUAAGUGUGAUGGUUAUGUGUUCACACACAUGUAUAAGAUGUGCCAUCCUCCAACCUUGUUAUAAUGUCACAUUACCCGACUGAUG